UGGGACCAUCAAAAGUAGGCGGCCCCGGCGGGGCGGGGCUGCGUGGCUCAGUGUCUGUAACUCUCAGCGCCCUCCCCUGCCCCCGGGACCCCCGCGGCGCGGAUGAGAGGUGGGGUGGUUGCUGACCCCGGGAUCCACAAGGCCUGCAGCCAGGAAGGUCUCAGCACCCCACCCCGGCCCCGGGUUGCAGCCCAUUACAUUCUUCAAAACCAGCUUUGAGUCCUGUGUGGAAAACCUUAUCGGUGCAGAGCAUGGGAUGGAUGCAUUCGGUGAAGCCAUACCAGGUCCAGCUAGCUACAGAGAGCUCAGAAGGAAUUGCUACCUUUCCCUGGUGGCUCAGAUAGUAAAGAAUCUGCCCUCAAUGUGGGAGACCUGGAUUUGAUCCCUGAGUUGGGAAGAUCCCCUGGAGGAAGGUAUGGCAACCCACUCCAGUAUUCUUGCCUGGAGAGUCCCAUGGACAGAGGAGCCUGGUGGACUACAGUCCAUAAGGUUGCAAAGAGUUGGACACGACUGAGCGACUAAGCCACACACACACACACACCCUGGAAAAGAAAGAGGGCCUGGGGAGGGGGAGGAAGAUUCACACCUGAGGUGCAGGAAAAGAAAGGAGCACCCGCGGAAGCUUUCGUGGCAGACGGAUUGUUUGAGGAGGCACACUCGCUCCAGGCCCUGAAGGAGGCUGGGAAGUGGACUGUGGUAUUUGGUAUUUUCACCGGGCAAUGAAUCAGCACACCCCACCUGCAGAGCCUCUGCCACCUGUCUUGACUUGUAAGUCACUGUGUCCAUCUGCGGCCGUCUGUCCCUCCUUUCCAUCAUCCAUCACUCGACACAUAAAUGCAGCUGCUCUGACAGUUUUACAAGCCAGACAGAAGCCCCUGCAGGAAGGGCCCUCUCUGAUACCUGCUUCCUAAGUCAGUUUCCUUCAGGGCAGACGAAAACAGCUGUGGCCAUUGUUGCGGGUGAUCUAUCUCUCCCAACAGAGCUGGCUGUGUUGUGAGAAGGGGGCCCUCCGAACCCUCUCCUCUUGUCUGUGACCUUCCAGCCUCCUUUUCCCUGACUCUGGAAUGUGGACCGUUAACCCUACUGUGGCCAGACUUCUUGCCCUGGAGUUCGGAGAGGGCAGUUCUGAUGUCUGGAUUCCUUGAACCAGAGGGACUUGAUGCUGGGGCCCCACCUGCUGUUGGGAUCUGCAGCUCAUCCCUAGGAAACAGAGACCAAGGGGACCAUCCUUGUAACACUUCUGCCAUCUGCUGGAGACGGAAGGAGGAGCCAGCGAUCAGAGGAUGGCGAGGCUUGGGAUUUGAAACUGAAAUAAUGUUUUACAGAGAGUGAGAGGGAGAGAAAAGAAGGAGAAGGAAGAGAAGGAUCCAGUAGACUUGAACUUGUAAAUUAUCUCCAUUCUUUUGAAUUACUCUCUGCCAAGGUAUAGCCAUGCUUUUCACAGAAUGGCUCAGAGAGAACCUGCUGUGAUGCCAUCUGCUUUUUCACUGAACACUGAUUCAGUUUUAUAUUUAUGCAGUCCACAGACCUGUCAUUGUUCAGAGCUAGACAGUACUUCCCAGAGUUAAACCCUCAGGGUUUUAGCUGACUUCUGUCGUUGGUAGUUUAGGUUAUUUCCGAUGUUCCUCUGUCCUCAGCAGGGAUGCUAUGAAUAUCCUUGGACAAAGUCAUUUUUUGAGUUAAACUUUAUUUUUGAGUCAUGGUAAAUUCACAUGUACUUGUAAGAAUAUAGAGAAAAUUUCCUAUUC